UCUCCCCACCGGUGACAGCAGGAAGGAAGUGGUUUGGAUGCUUGACAAGACAGGUAUCCCCAAAAAUGUCACUUGUCACGCUGCUGCUGGAAAACUCAAAGCCAGCUCAAAGGAAGCUCACAGAUAUAGCAACCAGAGAGAAAGUGUAACGGCUGUCACGUCGGACUUGGACUGGCUGAUAGGUGGAAUCAAGUGCAGGAGACAGAGGUGCUGGAGAGACUGUGCUCCAAGGUGCAGUACAUCUUCCAGGAGUGGAAGGCCGAGGAGGGCGUCAUCUCUUUACACUGCUUCCAGAACGCCAUCCCCGUGGAGGCGGAGGCAUACACGUGCGAGGCCUGCAUGGUGGACGCCAUAGUGGGAAACAUAAUCCAACACAUGGCUCAAAAUCUCACCAACCAGAAGUGAAAGGAAAGUACAGGGUGAUGACCAUGUGGCAGGUGAAGAGGAAGGGGGGCUGGAGGUACACCUGCUCUACAGGGCCGUGC